GGGGCUGUUAUGGUCGACGAUGACCGAGCUGAUGAAGAUCAAUAUCAUUUCAAUUAAUUAUUAUUUCAUCAAACCAUCAAACAAACUCAAAGGAAGUGUGAACCAGCAGACAGUUAGUGAGCUCCUUUAGCUGUUCCCUUUAUCGUGAAAAUGUGUUUAAAAAAACACGUUAUUGUCUUUAAUUAUUAUUAUUAUUAUUAUUUAUUAUUAUUAUGUUUAUUAUAAUUAUCAUAAUUAUUGUUAUAAUUAUUAUGUUUAUUAUGUAUAUUAUGUUUAUUAUUACUAUAACUAUUAUUAUUAUUGUUGUUAUUAUUAUUAUUAUCAUUAUUAUUAUGUUUAUUAUUACUAUUACUAUUAUUAUUAUUAUUGUUGUUAUUGUCAUCAUUAUAAUGUUUAUGAUCAAUCAGUCAACACAGGGAUUGUAGCACAAAGUGCUGUCCAUUCAGACAAGAUAUUAUUAUAAUUAUUAUGAUAGUUAUUAUUUAUUUUCAUCAUUAAUGUUAUUAUUAUUAUAAUAAUAAUUAUUAUUAUCAUUAUUAUCGUUAAUAUUGUUAUUGUAAUUCUUAUAAUAAUGAUAAUAAUAAUUGUAAUAAUUGUCAUUGUAAUAAUAAUAAUAAUAAUCAUUAUUAUUAUUAUUAAGAUUGCCAUUUUUAUUUUUAUUAUUAUUAUUAUUAUUAUUAUUAUUUUAGUAGUAGUGAAUCAGCUUCUGUUUAGAGCAGAGCUCUGCCCUCUGUCCUCCUGACAGAAACUGUUCGUCUCUUGUUUUAGUGAAGUGGCUCCAUGUUGAAUCCUGUUCCUCUGUUGAAACAGCUCCGGUGCUCACAGUCAGAUCUCAGACCGAGGACAUUUCAGCGAAGACAACCUUAUCCUUUAACGAUUGGACUGGAAAUCUUUGGACAUGACCACGGCUUUAGUACUUCCACCACAACACCGGCACAGUUCAGGGAUAAGUGCGAUGGCAGGAAUCAAA